rnacentral:tRNA from 1 species
GCCGGAAUGGCGGAGGCCGGGAUCUCGGCGCUGAAGCCGUUGAUGAGGUAGCCGAACUGGCUGUCCACGCUCAGCCCGUGCUUCUGGCCCCA